rnacentral:rRNA from 1 species
UUCGAUUAUGGCUCAGAUUGAACGUUGGCGGGAUGCUUUACACAUGCAAGUCGAGCGGCGGCACGGACUUCGGUCUGGUGAGUGGCGAACGGGUGAGUAAUGUAUCGGAACGUGCCUAGUAGCGGGGGAUAAUACGCGAAAGCGUAGCCUAACCUGCAUGCGCCCUUCCAGGGAAAGCAGGGGGACGCCGGGCCUCGCACUAUUAGAGCAGCCGAUAUCGGAUUAGCUGAGUUUGGUGGGGUAACGGCUCACCAAAGGCGACGAUCCGUAGCUGGUUUGAGAGGACGACCAGCCCUGGGACUGGGAACGGCCCAGACUCCUGCGGAGGCAGCAGUGGGGAAUUUUGGACAAUGGGAAACCUGAUCCAGCCAUCCCGCGUGUGCGAUGAAGGCCUUCGGGUUGUAAGCACUUUUGGCAGAAGAAACGGCACGGGAUAAUACCCCGUGCAACUGACAACCUGCAGAAUAAGCACCGGCUAACUACGUGCCAGCAGCCGCGGUAAUACGUAGGGUGCAAAGCGUUAAUCGGAAUUACUGGGCGUAAAGCGUGCACCAGGCGGUUCCGGAAAAGAUGUAAAUCCAGAGCUUAACUUUGAACUGCAUUUUUAACUACCGAGCUAGAGUGUGUCAGAGGGAGGUGGAAUUCCGCGUGUAGCAGUGAAAUGCGUAGAUAUGCGGAGGAACACCGAUGGCAAGAGAGCGGCCUCCUGGGAUAACACUGACGCUCAUGCGAAAGCGUGGGAGCAAACGGGAUUAGAUACCCUGGUAGUCCCACGCCCUAAACGAUGUCAACUAGCUGUUGGGGCCUUGAGCCUUGUUAGCGCAGCUAACGUGAAGUUGACCGCCUGGGAGACACGGUCGCAAGAUUAAAACUCAAAGGAAUUGACAGGGACCCGCACAAGCGGUGGAUGAUGUGGAUUAAUUCAGUACGGCGCGAAAAACCUUACCUACCCUUGACAUGUCUGGAAUCCCGAAGAGAUUUGGAGUGCUCGCAAGAGGGCAGGGCUGGGUGCUGCAUGGCUGUCGUCAGCUCGUGUCGUGAGAUGUUGGGUUAAGUCCCGCAACUGAGCGCAACCCUUGUCAUUAGUUGCUACGAAAGGGCACUCUAAUGAGACUGCCGGUGACAAACCGGAGGAAGAUUGAGGAUGACGUCAAGUGCCAGCGGCCCCACUUAUGGUGGAAGCUACACGUCCAUGCAAUGGUCGGGACAGAGGGUCGCCAACCCGCGAGGGGAGCCAAUCCCGAAACCCGAUCGUAGUCCGGAUCGCAGUCUGCAACUCGACUGCGUGAAGUCGGAAUCGCUAGUAAUCGCGGAUCAGCAUGUCGCGGUGAAUACGUUCCCGGGUCUUGUACACACCGCCCGUCACCAUGGGAGUGGGUUUACCAGAAGUAGUUAGCCUAACCGUAAGGAGGGCGAUUACCACGGUAGGAUUCAUGACUGGGGUGAAGUCGUAACAAGGUAA